UGACUUGUCGGCUAUGGGUAUGAUCGCAACUCCCGAUAGAAAAAAGCUGGUGGACUUGGUGUACGCGAUUUGGACGGAAGCGUACGUUAUGGUGGUGCCUGCACCAGGCGAAGAGCCUCGACUCUUUGCGUUCAUUCUGCCAUUUCAGUCCACGGUGUGGCUACUCAUCUUAAUUACUAUGAUCACCAUGGUAGCCAUAAUGUAAUCGUUCUCAAAAAUUUACUUGAAAUUCUUCGCAAAAGUCAACGCUGGCCAUAAUAAUCUCCAUCCGAUUACUAGCAGAGAGGAAACCUCAUUCAGGUGGAUCAUUCAUUAUGCCAUAUACAUAAUCAACACCAUGACAAAUCAAGGGGGAGGAAUCGCAAUCGCUCGGCUCUCGUUUCGCAUUCUUGUCGGGGCGUGGCUGUUGAUCGCCAUGGUCUUGGUCAACAGUUAUUCGGGCACUGUCAUUUCUUACUUGCCAGUUCCGAAAAUGAAACAACCCAUCAACAAUUUAGAGGAUCUAGCCAGAAGUGAAGAUGUUGGGCUCAUAUUA